rnacentral:rRNA from 1 species
GACGAACGCUGGCGGCGUGCUUAACACAUGCAAGUCGAACGGAAGGGCCCUGCUUUUGUGGGGUGCUCGAGUGCGGAACGGGUGAGUAACACGUGAGUAACCUGUCCUUGACUUUGGGAUAACUUCAGGAAACUGGGUAUAAUACCGGAUAGGAGCUCCUGCUGCAUGGUGGGGGAUGGAAAGUUUCGGCUGUUGGGGAUGGACUCGCGGCUUAUCAGCUUGUUGGGCUGGUAGUGGUUUACCAAGGCUUUGACGGGUAGCCGGCCUGGGAGGGGGACCGGCGACAAUAGGCCUGCGAGAGGGAGCAGAAGCCUACGGGAGGCAGCGGGGGGGAGCAUGACACAGCGGCGGGGAGCGUGAUGUGACAACGUCGCGAGCGGGAUGACGGGUUUCUAGUGGUGAACCGCUGUCGCCUGAGACGAAGCGAGAGUGACGGUAAUGGGUAAAGAAGCACCGGCUAACUACGUG